GAGAUGGAUUGGUGCCUUCGGGAACUGUGAGACAGGUGCUGCAUGGCUGUCGUCAGCUCGUGUUGUGAAAUGUUGGGUUAAGUCCCGCAACGAGCGCAACCCUUAUCCUUUGUUGCCAGCGGUUAGGCCGGGAACUCAAAGGAGACUGCCAGUGAUAAACUGGAGGAAGGUGGGGAUGACGUCAAGUCAUCAUGGCCCUUACGACCAGGGCUACACACGUGCUACAAUGGCGCAUACAAAGAGAAGCGACCUCGCGAGAGCAAGCGGACCUCAUAAAGUGCGUCGUAGUCCGGAUUGGAGUCUGCAACUCGACUCCAUGAAGUCGGAAUCGCUAGUAAUCGUGGAUCAGAAUGCCACGGUGAAUACGUUCCCGGGCCUUGUACACACCGCCCGUCACACCAUGGGAGUGGGUUGCAAAAGAAGUAGGUAGCUUAACCUUCGGGAGGGCGCUUACCACUUUGUGAUUCAUGACUGGGGUGAAGUCGUAACAAGGUAACCGUAGGGGAACCUGCGGUUGGAUCACCUCCUUACCUUAAAGAAGC
rnacentral:rRNA from 1 species